GAUGAACGCUGACAGAAUGCUUAACACAUGCAAGUCUUUGGCGAAGCUGUGCUUGCACAGCCUAGCUAGGGCGGACGGGUGAGUAACGCGUCAGGAACUUGCCCUCCAGUCCGGGAUAACAGCCUGAAACGACUGAUAAGACCUGGUAAAGUCAGGCGCACUCAUGUCGAGCCUGAUGAAAAGAGAUGCUGCAGGAGAGCCUUGCGUCCUAUUAGCUUGUUGGUGGGGUAACGGUCCAACAAGGCGAUGGUAAGGAGGCGGCAUGAGGGGGUGGGCGACCACAGGGGGAAUGAGAGACGGCCACUACUCCUGCGGGCAGCAGCAGGGGGGAAUAUUGGACAAGGGGGGGAACCCUGAAGCAGCGAUGCGGUGUGGACGAUGGAGGUUUUCGGAUUGUAAAGUGCUUUCAGCAGGGAAGAAAGAAUGACGGUACCUGCAGAAGAAGCGACGGCUAAAUACGUG
rnacentral:rRNA from 1 species